GGGCAGGAGAGCCAGGAAGAGCUGAACUAUGAGGAUUGCUCUCUGGGCAGCUGAGUGGAGGAGGAGGAGCCUCCUGCCCCCACUAUCCCUGAGCUCUCAAUCGCAGCAGGCCCGAGAAGGAAAGUGACCAGGGCAGCAACUGGAGCCUGGGCUGAACAAGUUAAGGGGAUUUUCUGCCCACCUUCCAGGUUGUCCUCCAGCCAAAGGUGUCGGUGUGGAGCGAAUCUUUGCUGUGACCCCUCCCUCCAAACCUCCACCCCUGGAUGCCCAGCUCUGUUUCAGAGCCCAGGAGAGACACCAAAGGAGAAGAGCCUGUGCUUUUGCCCUGGAGACCUCCCACUGUCAUUGAGGAGAAAUAGAUUCACAGGCAUGAAAAGAUAGUUUCCAGUCUGACAUUAAUCCAACGUGUAAAGUCUGUCUUUUUUUUUUUUUUUU
rnacentral:lncRNA from 1 species